UGGGAGGCGCCUGGCCUAAAACUGCAUCUCCUUAGCCAUUAGUCACAGUUUAACAGUUAUAUAUUCUUUAAGGAGUAAAAUUUUGGAAAAAAAAGAUAAAGUAGGGAAAACGUCGCAUAUGUAGUUGGGUAGCUGCAAGGUUAUGAGUGACAAUGAUUCCAGCACCUAUAUAAGGAGCUUUAGACUGGGUAUUUUUCAAAAAGUGUUGAUCGCCGUCAAAAUGAAAGUCAUCGUUAUUGUGUACGCAGCGCUAGUGGGAAGCCUGUUGAUUUCCAUGGCUGUGGAUAUGCAAAAAAAGAUGAAGACAUAAUAUUCAGGAGUUUAGACAAGUAUAGCUACGAAUAAUAACUUUAUUGUAAUUAUAAAGAAUUAUUAUUUAAGGAAUGAUGGUAAUGUACUUAGAAUUAAAUACAUCUGUAUUCUAAUA